GUCGAACGGCAGCACGGACUUCGGUCUGGUGGCGAGUGGCGAACGGGUGAGUAAUAUAUCGGAACGUGCCCAGUCGUGGGGGAUAACGUAGUGAAAAUUACGCUAAUACCGCAUACGAUCUAUGGAUGAAAGCGGGGGAUCGCAAGACCUCGCGCGAUUGGAGCGGCCGAUAUCAGAUUAGGUAGUUGGUGAGGUAAAGGCUCACCAAGCCAACGAUCUGUAGCUGGUCUGAGAGGACGACCGGCCACACUGGAACUGAGACACGGUCCAGACUCCUACGGGAGGCAGCAGUGGGGAAUUUUGGACAAUGGACGCAAGUCUGAUCCAGCCAUUCCGCGUGCAGGACGAAGGCCUUCGGGUUGUAAACUGCUUUUGUACAGAACGAAAAGGUUUCUAUUAAUACUAGGGGCUCAUGACGGUACUGUAAGAAUAAGCACCGGCUAACUACGUGCCAGCAGCCGCGGUAAUACGUAGGGUGCAAGCGUUAAUCGGAAUUACUGGGCGUAAAGCGUGCGCAGGCGGUUAUGUAAGACAGAGGUGAAAUCCCCGGGCUCAACCUGGGAACUGCCUUUGUGACUGCAUAGCUGGAGUACGGCAGAGGGGGAUGGAAUUCCGCGUGUAGCAGCGAAAUGCGUAGAUAUGCGGAGGAACACCGAUGGCGAAGGCAAUCCCCUGGGCCUGUACUGACGCCCAUGCACGAAAGCGUGGGGAGCAAACAGGAUUAGAUACCCUGGUAGUCCACGCCCUAAA
rnacentral:rRNA from 1 species